GAAGAAUUUUGCCGAGCACGGGCAACAAAGAGGAAAGGGGUGCACCUGGUGAUUCGAUUCCUGUGGCGUUGUUUCGGUGUAGGAGAUGAAACCGCCUCAGGUGAUGUCGUCGCCCUCGAGCCUCGGCUGCUUGGAUGGGCGCUCCUCUGGUGACGACGCAACACAGGGAAGGAAGGACGCAGGGGCGUGGGGUGCUGCUGCGUGGGAAGAAGAGAGAGCGGGUCGCGGCGGUGGGUGUGUAUGUAUAGGAAGGAGAGCGUGCGGGAGGUGGUUGUCAAUUUACCGUGGCUCUCGUCCCGGCCGAGCUAGAGAGACAGUUGCUCGGAAAGAUUCACAAGAUGGGGUUAGAUAGAGUUAGGCAGGGGAGGGGAUAGACGCAAGCUGACGGAAUUAUACAAAGUUAGAUAGAGCUGACCACAGGUCCAGUGUGACAACGAGAAGAACAUGAUCAACGAGAGAAAUAAAUAAAUAUAUAUAUAUACAUAUAUUAUCGAGUUUUUGAAAUAAUUUAGUUUUCGCAAUUACUAAAUUUUAAUAAUUAAAAUAAUAUUAGAAAAACUGAAAUUUAUAUUUAAUACUCGAAGAAACGUUCCGAGGAUUCUAAAUUCUCUUGGGAACAUCCUCGAGAUAUUUUAACAUGUCCUGAUAACAAUCCACACUCAUAAACACUAUGUGACGGCAUGAAUGCAGCAAUCGAAACUCCUCUAGGAUUUUAUUUUACUACACUAAAAACUUGUAUAUAUAAUAAAAUAACUCUCUAUUAUUUAGAAAAAAAGAAAAGAAGGGUAACAUCUGAAUUUGGUGGAUAUUAGAAAAGAAAUUUUAUACCCCCAAAUUCAGGGUGUUACAAAUCUAACCCCCUUAAUAAGAAUCUCGCCCCUGAGAUUCAAGAAGAAGCUAGCAAGAAAACAAGGUUGGUUCAUAGAUUGUUUACAACUUCCUCGGCUCAACUUUGACUCUGGCAACUUUAACUUGCGGAUUGGUUGUUUUGACCUUUAGAUACUCGAGACCAAUUAAUAUUAUUCUUGAGGAUCCCUUGGACCUGUGGGUUAGGACCCACACACGCUUUCGCUGCGCCACUUCAAUCUUGUCGGUUGAUGCUGAUCACAUUGUCUUCAUUAGGGUUAGCGGCUAACCCCCUUAAUAGGAGCAUUGAUACGCACUUAGUGAAGAUGUUGCCGACCCUAAUCUUGACUGAUUAAAAGAGGUUGUAGGAUGCCACCCGGACAGGUGCAAGAGGAAAGGGUAUAGAUAGAAAAGGUAAGCAUAGACGGAUUAGAGAGAGCAAGGGGAAAACCCAAUUACUUAACUAUAUGACACACACCUAGUAAACUAAUGUCAUUGCGGACUAAGGGCCACAACACAACAACACUCAUCACAAAGAAGCAAAUCAGUCAUAACACAAGGACAAACAUCGCAAGCAUACAUCAACAAACAUCUCGUUGCUAUAUGUUCCUUUUAAUUAAAUGGUGGUCUUUCUUGAAAAGGGGAAUAACUACCCUCUAAGGUUGUUGAAGGGCAAGGGGAAAAAACAAGACGUGUAGGAUAGGGAUACGAGCCCAAUAAGGGAUGUAGUUAAAGCAGGGAUUGUAAACGACUAGGAAAAGGAUUCGACCAAGGGCAUAAUGGGUAGAACACUACUCUCGAGUUAAGAUGGAAGGUGGGAGAUUCCAAAAAGCAGACCUAAGAUAAGCAUCAAGGCAAGAUCUAGUGAUUACGAAGGUAAGAGUGAUAUCAAACAAAAGCUAGGACCUGCAAUGCGGCAGAGGAAAAGGGAACGACCAAAAGCGGGAUGGGUAAGACAACACUAUUCAACCGAGACGGGAGAGGAGACUUUAAAAUGCAGAUACGAUUUAAGUAUCAAGGUAAAGUCAAGGGAUGACAAGGGUUAAGGUGAUAACGGACAAACACACAACAAAGAAUGUAUUUGAGACAAAACUUGCAAGGUGUCAAAGAAGGGGAAGCAGAUAAUGAUGAAGUAGGUGAGGCAUUAUCUCCGAACAGGGAUGGAAAAGAAGAGGCUUCAAAGGGUGGGUUCAAGGUAAGCAGGAAGGCAAGGGCAUAGAUAUCACGAGGGUUUUGAAGAUAAUAACGGACAAGGAUGUAGGAGAGGAGGUAAAUGUGCAUAAGAACCAAGAAUAUAAAUACCACAAAGAAUGAAGUUAAGACAAGACCUGCAAAUGGAAAAGAAGAGGGUACGUCCAUGGGCCACGUAGGUAAACUUCCACUCUCAAUUUGAGGUGGAAGAGCGGAGAUUUUUUUUUGAGUAUGAAUAAAGAUGAGUAUCAAGGCAAGAUCGAUGGAUGACAAGGUGAUGGUGAUAGAAAAUCAAAACACAGCAAAGUAUGGAAUUAAGACAACACUUGUAAGACGAAAAGAGGUGAAGAGAAAUCGAGGGAGAGGUAGGUAACUCGCAACUCUCAAACUGGGUUGAAAGAAGGGGAGGAUUUAAAGGAUAAGUUUAAGGUAAGCAUUUAGGUAGAAAACAUAAAUAUCGCAAGGGCCAAAGGCGAUAACGGACAAGGGUGUAAGAGAAAAGAUAAAGGCAUAGAAGAGCAAGUGGUACAAAUACAAUAACGAAUGGAGUUAAGUUUGGGCCUACACGCGGUAAAGAAGAGGAUAUAGUCAAGGGUGAGAUAAGUAAGAGACCACGCUUCAACUAAGGUGGGAGAUUGGAGGUUUUAGAUAACGAACAUAACAUAAUCGCUAAGUUGAGAUUAAGAGAUGAGAAGGGUAAAGGCAAUAAGAAACCAAAGCACAACAAGGAUGAGGUUACAAACUCGCGAGAUACUACAGGUGUGCAAAAUAAAAUGAUCACUCAUGGAUCAUUAGGAAACAAGGGUGGUCAAGGGCGUGUUAACUGAAAUAUUUCAAACAGACAUUGGGACAUAAAGGUAAGCAUAUAUAAAAAAUAAGAGUAUGCAAGAUUCCAAUGGUACGAGCAUACCAAGACCAAGAAAGUACAAAUUGCCAAAAAGAUAGCGACUUAUCAAUGGAAUAGGUAAGAGUCUCAAAAGACAGUAAGAUCAUGGACAUAUAAACUGAAAUGUUUAAAUAGGCAGUAGAGGUACAAGGGCAAGUGCUUUAGAUUAAGGGAUAAGGGUAUUAAAAAUUCAAGGACACGAGCAUGUCAAUAACAAAAUGGAAUAGAGAUGGUCAAAUAUUAGCAAUUUAAUAAUGCAUGAGGAAAGAGUCCCAAAAGACUAAAGGCUAUGGUCAGGGGGCAUCUACAAAGAUGUCGCAAGCACAAGAUGAGAUCAGAUCUAAUAGAUUGAGAGAAGUAUAGAUCAUACUAGAAUAAAAUACUUUUUGGCAAGGGGGCAUAUAGGAGCACAACAUAGAAUUAGUCGAGGUGACUAAUAUUUUGAGGCAAAAUCAAGGAUGAGAUUAAGUAAUAAUCAAUAAGUCCUUAAAACAGCCAAUGCUACUCUAGGUCAGCGGUCCUACAGUCAGCACGGCUUUGAUACCACUUAUGUCACACCCGGUUUUGAAGGUAAACCGAAUGCGAACCAUGUACGUGCCAGGAUAAGAAAUUCACGUACACAGCGAUUACAUAAAUGACUCAUCAUAGCACAAUGCUUCAAAUAACAAUAAAAAGUAAGUAAUAAUAUUACAGACGAGAGCCAUUUACAUAAUAUAAAUCAAAGUACACAGAAUCGAAACGUAGCCAACGUAAACAAACCCACCACAGGCAGCUGACUGGGGGAGGUCGCUAGCCUAAACCACGAACUCGCUGAAGUCCUGGCACUCCUGGGGAUCCGCCUCGACGCCUUCUUCUUUACCUGAGCAUAGAUUGCACUAAAGGCAACCUGGUGUUUUGUGAAAGCAAGGGUGAGUACACAUCAACGUACUCAGCAAAUGUCCCGUUUGGCUGAGGUGGACUAGCUUUAUGUGGAGUUAAGCUCAAGCAGUUGCUUUUAGUUAGUCAGAUAUUUAUUAUUAGUGGAAGCCAAGUUUUAGUAAUAGCCAACCCGUGAACAGCUUCCUCCUCGAGGAACAUCAUGAUCAUCAUCGAACCAAAAACAUUAAUAGAACCAUUGAGUCUCAAACCAGCUGUAUCUCUAAUCCAAGAGGAUCCCAAGGCCGCUCAUAACCGUGAGCACGGCUGAUAUAUCAGUUUCUAACCCUCUGCAGAGGUCGCACACUUUACCCAUGAGCCGUGAUUCCUGUUUUGCCCGGGGAUCAUGACUCCCCAUUGAUCACUUCCUAGGUGGUCCGAAAGAACCUCGGCACUCAGCCUCGGCAGAGCAAGCACUGUGCCUGGACCCCAUUGAUGGCACGACGGUGAAGCAACUACACCUCUAGUUCCUCUAAUUAAUUAGCUAAGGGCAUCUCAUUUCACCCUCAUGGUUGCACUGUUAUCCCGAGUGGUCUCUCAACGAACAGGUCCUUACGGAGAGGUACUCGGGAAACAGUCCGAGUCCCCUUAAAUGCCACAAGUAUAUCAUCAUAUCCAGAAUAAAAUCAUAGUAUCAUCAUUAUAUCUCAUCAUGUUCAUUGAUUAAAGUAAAGCGCUAGCAUGUAGCUAACCAUAGUAAACCAAAAGGUAAAUCAAGGACAAGGUAAAUAGAAAGCUAGUAAAUCCUUAGGUUGUUCAUAGUAUGCGAGACAGUGAAUUAUAAAGUAAAUGGGACAUAAUGGGUCAGAGGACACUUGCCUUCACCGAAUAGAUGCUCAGGGUCUUCAGCCUCGUAGAACUCGAAGAGUUCGAUCACUUGGUCGCCAAAGCUUGACCGUCGAUUCCUCGAAGCUCGAAAAUGGAUCGCAGUCUAUUCGCGACGCGAAGCGAAGACGAACAAGCACCAGCAAACAAACAUAUACAUAUGCAUAAGAACAUUACACCAUACAAAGGAAAACAUAAUCAAAACAUGCAAUACGAAAUAGAGCGCGUUACUACAGUCACGCGAGGAAAAAGAAACGCGACGGUCGAGGCUACGGUCGAGAAGUUAUCGCGUCCAUACUAAGCGAGUAUUAAUCAUAACAUUUAGUUUGAUCUAAUUAUAUUAAUCAAUAUUUAUUAAAAUAAAAGUAGAGCUGUUGCGCAAUUUUAAUUAGCUGACGACACUAACGAUUCUUAGUUAAAUAAGUAAUUUAAAUAACAACAGCGACUCUAAGCAGAACAAAUUAGCGGAGCGAGACGAAACAUGUAACGCAUGAAACAUCACGACAGCGUGCAAACGACGCGCGGACACGCGCGACAUAGCACGCCGACGAUACACGAACAGCACGCGCAACGAGCGUGAACGAAGCGUGAACCAGCACGCCGCCAUAUGCUGAACAACACGCGCGAUAGGCGAGAAAGCUAAAUCGGUGACAUGUUUAUACUAAACAAGUCUUAAUUAGAAUAUUAGUCCGACACAAUUAUAAUUACAUGAAUUGACAUUAUCAUAUCAAAUAUAAAAAAACUAAUAUUUAGCUUUGACUAACUUACUAUUUUACUAGUGGACGAUUAAACAAAUAGUUAACUAAUUGACCUUAGUGAUUAAAAUCAAACGACUUUAAUAUCGCGCGCGGGCAGCGCGCGACAUGCGAAACAACACGUGCGACAACACGAGAGUAACGAAUGAAGUAUACACGAGAGUAACGAAUGAAGUAUACACACGAACAACAAGGCGACGACGAGUGCCACACGUGGGAAUAGUGCGCGCAUCACGUGUGAAGGAGCACACGGAAAGCGCGCACGACUACGUAUGACCAUGAGCAAAUGACGCGUGACGGUGUACGCGAACAGCACGCGACAACACGCGAACGUCGUGCGCGACAGCACUCGCGACACGCGAGAAUCACUAACAAAUAUCAUGUUUAUUGUAAACGAGUAUAAAUUUAGAGCAUGCGAGUUGGCAUUAACCACAUUACUAUGUGUUUAUAAAAACACAAAUAAAACUAUAAAAUUAUUUUUAUGUAAAUUGCUAUUCUAAUAAAUAUCGGAUGAACAAUUAAUUAACUAAUUAAUUAAAACUUGUGUCGUGACAAAAUAAUGUUACUAAUAUAUUGACGAUAUUAUUAUUAAGCUAACGAGAUGAAAUGAAUCAAAACUGGAUCGUAACACAUAAUAUAUUGAAUAACUAAUAGCUCAUAUAUUAAUUACGAAGUGGCGCACGUGAUUGGUCGAAGCUAAAUCACAUAAAGGGCCACGGAGUUUGCAGCCAUGGAAGAUCAUCCUGAGGGAGUUUUGUAUUGGAUGUAGGGAAUUGUGCGUGCAGGAGGGGUGCAUGGCUGCAUGCACAUGCAUGUGUGGGGCUCAAGUAGUUUUCCUUAAACGCACGCCAAAGGGAUAAACACCAUGCAUGUGGGUCCCACCGGUAGCUUUUUCUCCCUCCUUUCUCUACACAACUCACACACGACACGAGUGGAGUAGUGGGUGAGUGCCGAGUGGUUACCUUUCUUCCUCACCGCUCACGCACAUGCGGGCAGGAAGCCGACCAUGGCGCUGGGUGCUCGAUGAGAAGGUGCAUAGGGGCUGGUCAGGCAGGCUUGCCGGAACGCGGACUGAAUGGCAAGGCAGCGCGCAGGGGAGCUCAGGGGCCACGGCUGAUCGGCCGGCGAGCAGCAGCACUCGCUAGGCGCGAGGUUAAGGGUGACCAGGCUGGGAGCGGCUGGGCGCGACGGGGACUCGGCCACGGCCUUGCUGGGCCUUCGUGGGAGGGGCUGGACGCAGCUCGCACCGAAGCUUGGCGCGGCGGUUCGUCUACGGUCGCGACGCAGCGCGCGUGAGCUGGACGGGCAUGGCUAGCGCGCGGGCGUUGAGGAAAGCAAGGCAAGGUGCCCCAUACUCCGAGGACAGGAUCGGAUCGAAGAAUUUUGCCGAGCACGGGCAACAAAGAGGAAAGGGGUGCACCUGGUGAUUCGAUUCCUGUGGCGUUGUUUUGGUGUAGGAGAUGAAACCGCCUCAGGUGAUGUCGUCGCCCUCGAGCCUCGGCUGCUUGGAUGGGCGCUCCUCUGGUGACGACGCAACACAGGGAAGGAAGGACGCAGGGGCGUGGGGUGCUGCUGCGUGGGAAGAAGAGAGAGCG
rnacentral:lncRNA from 1 species